rnacentral:rRNA from 1 species
GACGAACGCUGGCGGCGUGCCUAAUACAUGCAAGUAGAACGCUGAAGGAGGAGCUUGCUUCUCUGGAUGAGUUGCGAACGGGUGAGUAACGCGUAGGUAACCUGCCUGGUAGCGGGGGAUAACUAUUGGAAACGAUAGCUAAUACCGCAUAAUAGCAGUUGUUGCAUGACAACUGUUUGAAAGGUGCAAUUGCACCACUACCAGAUGGACCUGCGUUGUAUUAGCUAGUUGGUGGGGUAACGGCUCACCAAGGCGACGAUACAUAGCCGACCUGAGAGGGGGAUCGGCCACACUGGGACUGAGACACGGCCCAGACUCCUACGGGAGGCAGCAGUAGGGAAUCUUCGGCAAUGGACGGAAGUCUGACCGAGCAACGCCGCGUGAGUGAAGAAGGUUUUCGGAUCGUAAAGCUCUGUUGUAAGAGAAGAACGAGUGUGAGAGUGGAAAGUUCACACUGUGACGGUAUCUUACCAGAAAGGGACGGCUAACUACGU